AUUGAACGCUGGCGGCAUGCUUUACACAUGCAAGUCGAACGGUAACAGGCCGCAAGGUGCUGACGGGUGGCGAACGGGUGAGUAAUGCAUCGGAACGUGCCCAGUCGUGGGGGAUAACGCAGCGAAAGCUGCGCUAAUACCGCAUACGAUCUAUGGAUGAAAGCGGGGGACCGAAAGGCCUCGCGCGAUUGGAGCGGCCGAUGUCAGAUUAGGUAGUUGGUGGGGUAAAGGCUCACCAAGCCAACGAUCUGUAGCUGGUCUGAGAGGACGACCAGCCACACUGGGACGGAGACACGGCACAGACUCCUACGGGAGGCAGCAGUGGGGAAUUUUGGACAAUGGGCGCAAGCCUGAUCCAGCAAUGCCGCGUGCAGGAAGAAGGCCUUCGGGUUGUAAACUGCUUUUGUACGGAACGAAACGGUCCGGGUUAAUACCCUGGGCUAAUGACGGUACCGUAAGAAUAAGCACCGGCUAACUACGUGCCAGCCGCCGCGGUAAAAC
rnacentral:rRNA from 1 species